UUGCAAUUUUCAGUCAUUUUGUAUUACAAACGGGAAAUUGACAUCCGAUUCGGGUGUUGGGGCUGCAAUUUCCCGUUUGUAAUGCAAAAUGACUAAAAAUUGCAAACUUU